UUGCUCUCUUCAGCAACACACAGACUAAAAUGGGAACAAUACAGAGAAGAUUAGCAGGGCUCCUGCACAAAGAUGACGCAUAAAUUCAGGAAGCAUUCCAUAUUUUU
ensembl:snRNA U6 U6 spliceosomal RNA